GAAAUGCGAUAAGUAAUGUGAAUUGCAGAAUUCAGUGAAUCAUCGAAUCUUUGAACGCACCUUGCGCUCCUUGGUAUUCCGAGGAGCAUGCCUGUUUGAGUGUCAUGGCAUUCUCAACUCUAUUUGCUUUUGUGAAUAGAGCUUGGAUUUGGAGGUUUAUUGCUGGUACUUGUGAUCGGCUCCUCUUGAAUGCAUUAGCUCGAACCUUUGCGGAUCAGCUAUCGGUGUGAUAAUUGUCUACGCCGUUGCAGUGAAGCAUAUCAAUGGGCUCGGCUUCCAAUCGUCCUUUACUGGACAAUGACUUUGACCUUUGACCUCAAAUCAGGUAGGAUUACCCGCUGAACUUAAGC
rnacentral:misc_RNA from 1 species